AUUGAACGCUGGCGGCAGGCCUAACACAUGCAAGUCGAACGAGUGGCGGACGGGUGAGUAAUGUCUGGGAAACUGCCCGAUGGCGGGGGAUAACUACUGGAAACGGUAGCUAAUACCGCAUACCAUCGGCUUUGCCCAGAUGGGAUUAGCUAGUAGGUGGGGUAACGGCUCACCUAGGCGACGAUCCCUAGCUGGGCUGAGAGGAUGACCAGCAACAGGGGAACUGAGACACGGUCCGUACUCCUACGGGGGGCAGCAGUGGGGAAUAUUGCACAAUGGGGGCAAGCCUGAGGCAGCCAUGCCGCGUGUAUGAAGAAGGCCUUCGGGUUGUAAAGUACUUUCAGCGAGGAGGCGGUACUCGCAGAAGAAGCACCGGCUAACUCCGUGCCAGCAGCCGCGGUAAUUC
rnacentral:rRNA from 1 species